rnacentral:lncRNA from 1 species
GUUUAGUUCAUCUAAACUAAUUUUUAAUUCAUUCAAACAAACUUUUUUUUUUAUUUAGUACAAUUUUUAACAGUUCAGUACAAUUCAAUUAAUUUUGUCUACCUUUAUCUAUCGUCAACAUUUUAGUUUCUCCAGCACCUUUCUCUCGUCUUCAUCUUCACUCGAUUUCAACCAAUCACUUAUGCCUAUUCAGUCCACCCUCAAUCUUCAUGUCACAUUUUUGGCCUCACUAUUUCUUUCUAGAACCAUAUCACUACGUCCCUUUCAAUCACCAUUUUCUAAAAAUAAUACUUUACC